rnacentral:lncRNA from 1 species
CUAAGUCACCUCUUUAUUGAAUUCAUGCCAAAUAGUCUUCGUUACAUAGGAUGCCGAACGGCUGAAGCUUAACACUUGUACAAUGUGAGUUUACUUGUAAUAGUAUUUCAAGUGAUCAGCGUUCCAUGGAUGGCCAAGGGUCUUGCUAUCGGAGCUUCUAAGCUUGUAGGAGCCAGGGCGACUGAUGCCAACAACUUCAAACGGUCCAUCCCAGUUUAGACUAAGUGUUCCUUCACUCGGGACUCUGUCGCAGAGUAAUCUUUUCAUCAAU